CCCUUAGAUGUUCUGGGCCGCACGCGCGCUACACUGACGAAUGCAACGAGCUUAUAACCUUGGCCGAAAGGUCUGGGUAAUCUCCAAAUUUCGUCGUGAUGGGGAUAGAUUAUUGCAAUUAUUAAUUUUCAACGAGGAAUGCCUAGUAAGCGCAAGUCAUCAGCUUGCGUUGAUUACGUCCCUGCCCUUUGUACACACCGCCCGUCGCUCCUACCGAUUGAAUGGUCCGGUGAAGCGUUCGGACCGUGGCCUUUGGACGGUUCGCCGUCUGUUGGCUGCGGGAAGUUCGUUAAACCUUAUCAUUUAGAGGAAGGAGAAGUCGUAACA
rnacentral:rRNA from 1 species